rnacentral:tRNA from 1 species
AGAAUGUGGUGUAAAGGAAGCACGGAGAAUUUUGGGUUCUAAAAUGUAGGUUCAAAUCCUAUUGUUCUAG